AACGAACGCUGGCGGCAUGCCUAACACAUGCAAGUCGAACGAGACCUUCGGGUCUAGUGGCGCACGGGUGCGUAACGCGUGGGAACCUGCCUUUAGGUUCGGAAUAACUCAGAGAAAUUUGAGCUAAUACCGGAUGAUGUCUUCGGACCAAAGAUUUAUCGCCUUUAGAUGGGCCCGCGUUGGAUUAGCUAGUUGGUGGGGUAAAGGCCUACCAAGGCGACGAUCCAUAGCUGGUCUGAGAGGAUGAUCAGCCACACUGGGACUGAGACACGGCCCAGACUCCUACGGGAGGCAGCAGUGGGGAAUAUUGGACAAUGGGGGAAGGCCUGAUCCAGCAAUGCCGCGUGAGUGAUGAAGGCCUUAGGGUUGUAAAGCUCUUUUACCCGAGAUGAUAAUGACAGUAUCGGGAGAAUAAGCUCCGGCUAACUCCGUG
rnacentral:rRNA from 1 species